UAUGACGUUUUGGCUAAUGCAAUUGCAUUUGCUAUAAUUAGUAACAGUAUCUUCCUCAAGUAGCACCUUUUUCAUCUCAUAUUGUGUUGUGCUCUGUACCCAUCAAUGUUUUCUUCGCUAUAUCUGACAGAUACAGAUGAAAUAGUUCUCCUCUCUCUGUAGCAGCAUUUUCUUUUACGUGAUAUUGUGUAUAUUGAACGUGCCAACUAAGCUGUGCAAUGCAAUCCUAGGCCUCUGUUUACAUGUAGCAUUUAACACUUUACUGUACAUUAUAAGGUUAUUAGGUUUUCUGCUAUACUAAAUAAAAACGAGCUUACUUAUCCCGUUAGUGAUUAUUUCUUGUCUUUGGGGAUUGGCCAAGUCAAAAAUCUAAUUGAAUAAAUGUGUGAACUUCAUUUCUGGGAAUGCCUUUAUUGUGAUUAAAUUUAGGAUGGACAUUUAUCUAUUGCUCUCUGCUUAGGCUACUAAAUUGAUAAUUUGAUUCUGUCUCAAUCUUGUUUAUGCGUACAGCUAUGUGCAGUGGUAUCAGGAAAAGGAGAAGAUGGAGCACAGAUACUGAAGUCAAAUGUACUCAAAAUUUCGUAUGUUAUCUAGUCUUACCUGCCAAUAAGCGAUUUUACGACUUUGCCUGCAGCUGCAGUUAUCGAACUCCAGAAUUUAAAUGUCCAUUUGCAGAUAUCAACUUUCGUGACCUCUAUAUUGUGUUAAAUCACACGAUGCUUUGAAAUCUGUUUGGUUAUGCUAAAAUUUUAUGAAUAUCGUUUUUCUCUUAUUGCUUUUCUCGAAUAAAGAAUUACAUUUUGUUAUGAAUUAAUUCUAUUAUAGCUGCACCCCCCAACCCCAAC
rnacentral:lncRNA from 1 species